rnacentral:rRNA from 1 species
UACGGAGGGAGCUAGCGUUGUUCGGAAAUACUGGGCGUAAAGCGCACGUAGGCGGCGCAGCAAGUCAGGGGUGAAAUCCCGGGGCUCAACCCCGGAACUGCCUCUGAAACUGCAGUGCUAGAAUCUUGGAGAGGCGAGUGGAAUUCCGAGUGUAGAGGUGAAAUUCGUAGAUAUUAGGAAGAACACCAGUGGCGAAGGCGGCUCACUGGUCCGGUACUGACGCUGAGGUGCGAAAGCGUGGGGAGCAAACAGG